rnacentral:rRNA from 1 species
ACGGGGAAUAAGGGUUCGAUUCCGGAGAGGGAGCCUCGAGAAACGGUACCACAUCCAAGGAAGGCAGCAGGGCGCAAAUUACCCAAUCCCGACACGGGGAGGUCAGUGACAAUAAAUUAACAAUACAGGGCUCUUUUUGGGUCCUUGGUAAUCUCGGGAAUCGAGUACAAUUUAAAUCCCUUAACGAGGAACAAUUGGAGGGCAAGUCUCGGUGCCAGCAGCCGCGGUCAAUUCUUCCAGCUCCAAUAGCGUCAUAUUUCAAAGUCUCGUCGCAGUUCAAAAAGCUCGUCAGUUCGAACUUCAGCCCUGGCCGGGCGGUCUGCCUCACGGUAUGUCACUGUCUGGCUGGGGCUUACCUUCUGGUGAGCUUGCAUGCCGUUUG